AGAGAAAGAAAGAUGUAUGACUAAAGUGUGGUCACUAAGCAAAGUUUAAGAGAGAUAAGAUAAACAGAAAGAAGAAGAAAAAGACUGAAACUAAUUCCUCUCUCGGUACUGAGCCAACGAGUGAAGCUCCUCCCACAGGAAUCACAUCAUCAGUGAAGCUCCUCCCACAGGAAUCACAUCAUCAGUGAAGCUCCUCCCACAGGAAUCACAUCAUCAGUGAAGCUCCUCCCACAGUAGUUCACCAAUAAAUGCUGGAACAUCUCAUCAGUUCAGAAGAGAAGAAGAGCUGAAAUCUGUCAAGUCUGAGUUUAUUAAAGAGGACAGAGAGAAGAUGAGAGAUCAAGAAGCCUCAACCCUCAGAAUCAAACACACUGAAGAUACUGAACAAACAGAGCUGAUUGAAGAGAACCAGGAGAGUGAAGAAUAAAGUGAAGUUGAGGAGAAAAAUCAUGUCAAAACCAGAGAAAAACUUCUGAGUUGCUCUCAAACCAAACAGAAAGAUUUAAAGAA